UUGCAGCAGCCUCGCCACCCCCACGGCCA
rnacentral:sRNA from 1 species